UACGGAGGGGGCUAGCGUUGUUCGGAAUUACUGGGCGUAAAGCGCGCGUAGGCGGCCAACUAAGUCAGACGUGAAAUCCCUCGGCUUAACCGGGGAACUGCGUCUGAUACUGGAUGGCUUGAGGUUGGGAGAGGGAUGCUGAAUUCCAGGUGUAGCGGUGAAAUGCGUAGAUAUCUGGAGGAACACCGGUGGCGAAGGCGGCAUCCUGGACCAAUUCUGACGCUGAGGAGCGAAAGCCAGGGGAGCAAACGGG
rnacentral:rRNA from 1 species